GACAACGCCGACGCUCGCCGCAAGAACGGGCGCGCCGCGCUCUGAAAAUAUUGCCCAGGAACCCUCUGUAGUGCUUCUGUGCGUGCUCGGCCUGCCCAGGCGGUGUGUACCAUUACCCCCUGAUGCGUGCACCCGCUUGUCGCUUCCCUACUGGCAUCCUGCGCUACCGAUGGCGGAGCUGCGAACGGCGAUCCAGUGACGUCAGAGGGAGGACUCGUCUUCGUCGCCUGCUACGCUCAGGUAGUCAACCUUGCCCUGGCCUGUUUUUCGUCUACCUACGCCCUAACCGGACCCGAAGUACCAAGAAUUCACCGUUCACUCCUCUCGGACUUACCCCCUCUCCUGUCUGAUCCGUCACCAGCAGAACGAUUGCCCG